rnacentral:rRNA from 1 species
UACGGGGGAGCAAGCGUUGUUCGGAUUUACUGGGCGUAAAGGGCGCGUAGGCGGUCAGCACAAGUCAGUUGUGAAAUCUCCGGGCUUAACUCGGAAAGGUCAACUGAUACUGUGCGACUAGAGUGCGGAAGGGGCAACUGGAAUUCUCGGUGUAGCGGUGAAAUGUGUAGAGAUCGGGAGGAACACCGGUGGCGAAGGCGGGUCUCUGGGCCAUUACUGACGCUGAGGAGCGAAAGCGUGGGGAGCGAACAGG